UAUAGACAUAUAUACAGAGUCAGUCAUGGAACGUGACGUUUUAAAAUAACUAAUUAAAUAUGCAUUGUAUGAAAAAAUGUAUAUUUUUGUGCAUUUUUAUUUAAACUUUGUUUGGUUCGUAUAACAAAAUGAAAAUAAAACGUUUUAUUUGGGUUAGUUCGAUUAAAAUCUAAUUAAAUUGCCACUCGAGGAAACACUUGCUCGCACAUAAUGGAUUUAUAUUUAAUGCUAUUCGUAUACGCUGAUGGACUCUAUAUAAAUGACCAAGAAUAAAUAUUUAUAGCCCAAUAAAAAAAUAGACACCUUAUGAUAGCAUGUAGAUAAUUGCAUAUUUAAAAGGUGCAAAUGUGUGUUGGAAAUAAAAGUGGGAAUGUUAAAUCCUUCAGCUCAGUUGAA